GAUCCUGGCUCAGGAUGAACGCUAGCUACAGGCUUAACACAUGCAAGUCGAGGGGCAGCAUCAUCAAAGCUUGCUUUGAUGGAUGGCGACCGGCGCACGGGUGAGUAACACGUAUCCAACCUGCCGACAACACUGGGAUAGCCUUUCGAAAGAAAGAUUAAUACCGGAUGGUAUAGUUUUGCCGCAUGGGAUGAUUAUUAAAGAAUUUCGGCUGUCGAUGGGGAUGCGUUCCA
rnacentral:rRNA from 1 species